GACGAACGCUGGCGGCGUGCUUAACACAUGCAAGUCGAACGGAAAGGCCCUGCUUUUGUGGGGUGCUCGAGUGGCGAACGGGUGAGUAACACGUGAGUAACCUGCCCUUGACUUUGGGAUAACUUCAGGAAACUGGGGAUAAUACCGGAUAGGAGCUCCUGCUGCGUGGUGGGGGUUGGAAAGUUACGGCGGUUGGGGAUGGACUAGCGGCUUAUCAGCUUGUUGGUGGGGUAGUGGCUUACCAAGGCUUUGACGGGUAGCCGGCCUGUGAGGGUGACCGGCCACAUUGGGACUGAGAUGCGGCCCAGACUCCUACGGGAGGCAGCAGGGGGGAAUGUUGCACAAUGGGCGGAAGCCUGAUGCAGCAACGCCGCGUGCGGGAUGACGGCCUUCGGGUUGUAAACCGCUUUCGCCUGUGACGAAGCGUGAGUGACGGUAAUGGGUAAAGAAGCACCGGCUAACUACGU
rnacentral:rRNA from 1 species